rnacentral:rRNA from 1 species
GAUGAACGCUGGCGGCGUGCCUAACACAUGCAAGUCGAGCGAUUCUCUUCGGAGAAGAGCGGCGGACGGGUGAGUAACGCGUGGGUAACCUGCCCUGUACACACGGAUAACAUACCGAAAGGUAUGCUAAUACGAGAUAAUAUGCUUUUAUCGCAUGGUAGAAGUAUCAAAGCUCCGGCGGUACAGGAUGGACCCGCGUCUGAUUAGCUAGUUGGUAAGGUAACGGCUUACCAAGGCGACGAUCAGUAGCCGACCUGAGAGGGUGAUCGGCCACAUUGGAACUGAGACACGGUCCAAACUCCUACGGGAGGCAGCAGUGGGGAAUAUUGCACAAUGGGCGAAAGCCUGAUGCAGCAACGCCGCGUGAGCGAUGAAGGCCUUCGGGUCGUAAAGCUCUGUCCUCAAGGAAGAUAAUGACGGUACUUGAGGAGG